rnacentral:rRNA from 1 species
CACGCAGGCGGAUUGAUAAGUCAGGGGUGAAAUCCCGGGGCUCAACCUCGGAAUUGCCUUUGAUACUGUCUAUCUUGAGUUCGGGAGAGGUUGGCGGAAUUCCUAGUGUAGAGGUGAAAUUCGUAGAUAUUAGGAAGAACACCAGUGGCGAAGGCGGCCAACUGGCCCGAUACUGACGCUCAUGUGCGAAAGCGUGGGGAGCAAACAGGAUUAGAUACCCUGGUAGUCCACGCCGUAAACUAUGGAUGCUAGCCGUUGGGGAGCUUGCUCUUCAGUGGCGCAGCUAACGUCUUAAGCGUCCCGCCGUGGGGAGUACGGUCGCAAGAUUAAA